GGUUGACAUAAACGUGACACAUCAAGCCCUUUACAGUAUAUACGAAACUUGUCAGGUUAAUAAAAUAGCGGGUGUACUAAAUUCGUGUUUUAGUCAAUGUUAGAUUACGCUUGGAGAUAGUUGUUCAGUCGCCACAAGAGAUAUAUUCCAUAAAUGAUGAAGUCCGCUGGUUUUUUGUUAAUGCUUGGGGUGGUCCUAAUGGUCGUAUGUCAACAGGUUAACGCUCAACCGGUGAAAGACAACAAAUCCACAAACGAUGAGCUAAACCAAUUGCAACUCAACUAUAAUCGUCGACGCAUGCGUACACUUGAACUUAAACUUGCUAUGUCCAAGAAACAUAAUGACGAUACUGUUCCAUUAGGCAUUAUAUUGGAAAUGAGUCGGAAUCCGUUUUUGGCUCAUUUUAGAUCCAGGCAUAGCCAUUGAAUUCGACACCUUUCGUCAAAUUUUUGAAAUAAUCAGAUGACGUAUGUGGAUGGACCUAUACCACCUGGUGUCAUAAACCUUGAACCAUCCAGUGCCGGACUUAGAUAUAUAAACUUUAAAAGAAGCUACAAUCCAUGGCCUCGUAAUCGUCAGGGGACACACUGUUUUUGGGGUCCCGUUUCGGCGCGCAGCUUUGUGGGUUACUCAGAUUGUAAUUUUUUAAGAAGAGGUAUCCAAGCUUAAAAUAACGUAGAACCUCAAUAAAUCUAAGUCCGACACUGACCAUUAGGGAUUAGGCCCCAAGGCAGUUAAUUCACGAAAAUCUACAAUCAAUCCAGGUACAGACAGGAUCAGAUCAGAAGAGAUAAAAAAAAGAAGACCGCAUUGGUAAACAACUUUAUUUUAAAACUAGUUUUAAAAAUAAAACUCUUAAAGUUCCAGCGUCAGUCAAAAUGAAACACGACGGAUAAACAACAACCAACCAUGGUCCAGUAUUACACAACAAUAAUCAUGGCGGAUGAACAACCAUCCAUGGUCCAGUAUUACACAACAAUAAUCAUGGCGGAUGAACAACCAACCAUGGUCCAGUAUUACACAACAACAAUCAUGGCGGAUGAACAACCAACCAUGGUUCUGUAUUACAAAACAACAAUCAUGGCGGAUGAACAACCAACCAUGGUUCUGUAUUACAAAA